CCUACGGGUGGCAGCAGUGGGGAAUAUUGGGCAAUGAAGGCAACUCUGACCCAGCAACGCCGCGUGAAGGAAGAAGGCCUUAGGGUUGUAAACUUAUGUUGUAAAGGAAGAAAAGAAUGACGGUACUUUACAAGAAAGACCCGGCUAACUAUGUGCAAGCAGCCGCGGUAAGACAUAGGGGGCAAGCGUUUUGCGGAAUUACUGGGCGUAAAGGGUGCGUAGGCGGGAGUAUAAGGUAGGAGUGAAAGCCUUGGGCUCAACCCAAGAAAUGCUCUGAAUACUGGUUUUCUAGAGUGUGGGAGAGGUAAGUGGAAUUCCUAGUGUAGCGGUAGAAUGCGUAGAGAUUAGGAGGAACAUCAGAGGCGAAGGCGGCUUACUGGACCAUAACUGACGCUGAGGCUCGAAAGCGUGGGGAGCAAACAGGAUUAGAUACCCUGGUAGUC
rnacentral:rRNA from 1 species